rnacentral:rRNA from 1 species
AAACCGUUCGGGGGUAAACGGACAGAGCCCGUGAAUCCGGGCGACGGAAUUCAGAAUUGACGGGGCGUUCGCGCGUCGCGUCGGUUCGAUAUUUCCGUCGCCGCGCAUACGGACGUCGCGACCCGUUCGGUGUCGGUCCGCAGGAGACGUGCGAAAGUUCGCGACCGUCUGUCGGGUUUCGGCUCGGCGGGCGUGUUCGCGAGUGCGCGUUUUUUUUUUCUGGCCGACUCGCCGGACGGUAAGCGAAGCGGUGAUCGCGGCGGCCUCUCGUCAGCGCCGUCGCGUUUCCCGGUCAGCGACGAAUCUUCGGGCCUCUUUCCGA